AUUCUCCUACGGGGGGCAGCAGUAGGGAAUCUUCCACAAUGGACGAAAGUCUGAUGGAGCAACGCCGCGUGAGUGAAGAAGGGUUUCGGCUCGUAAAGCUCUGUUGGUAGUGAAGAAAGAUAGAGGAAGUAACUGGCCUUUAUUUGACGGUAAUUACUUAGAAAGGCACGGCUAACUACGUGCCAGCAGCCGCGGGAAUACGUAGGUGGCAAGCGUUGUCUGGAUUUAUUGGGCGUAAA
rnacentral:rRNA from 1 species